GUGCUGCCUUUGAGCCCAACUCAGGAUCAGGCCGCAGCACCACAGCAUGUACUUGCACGUAACUGGGACUGUCUGCUCCUCACCCAUGACCCCUUUAACCAUGAGUGACAAGG